rnacentral:lncRNA from 1 species
UGUUGUUAUUAUCUUUCUUUUAUAGUAUGUCACAUGUGUGCAACUCCUGCACAAUUAUUGAUUUUUGUUUGGGCAAGAAAACAUUAGUUGGAUAUUGAAAAAAGCUUAUGAAAGGACAGUCAAAUUCUCCACACAAGAAUCAUAAACUGCACUGAAUUAGGGCAUUAGGAAAUAAGGCUAUAUUUAGUGUGUAACAGAUUUAUAUCACAGCUUUAUUUCAAAAAAUGUAAAUUUUGUAUAAAAAUAAAAGUAUCACAGUUAUAUAGUACUAAAAAAAAAUACACAUUUUAAAUACAGAAACAUAGACAUUAAUAAUACAUAGUUCAACCAAAUAAUUUCUUCAAACAUCCCAUCACCAAUAUCAGUGAUAAUUGCAAACAGAAGCCACAACCUUUCUGCCACAUAAGUGUGUAUUUGUAUUUGUGUGUGUGUGUUGAGUUGCCUCCUUUAUUAUUUUGUAAUUUAAAACUUUUUGAUGCAAUCAAUACAACAAUUUCUCAAUUACAUACAUAGUGUUGAAAUAUCUACCUGUUAACAUAUAGAGAGGCAGUUACAAUAAAUUGAACAACUGAAACUGUGAGCUACUGCUCACUGAUGAUACCCCAGCCACAACAGUAUUACUUUUAAUAGUGUAAAAAUAUAUAAGUGUUUGGUAAACAGGAAGUUGUUCAGUAAUGAAUCUGAAAUCACAACACACCUUAUAGCUAACUUAUUUAAACCCUGUAACCAAAUUUCAGAAAUCCUUGUAUUGUAGUUCCUGAGAAAAACGUGACAAAAUUUUUCAAUUUGGCUAUCAUGUGUAAAAUGAUACAAGUGUUCGGUAAACAGGAAGUUGUUGAGUAAUAUCUGAAAACACAUCACACAGUAUAGCUGACUUAUAUUAACCCAGAAACCGAAAUUUCAGAAAUCCUUCUUUAUAGUUCCUGAGAAAGAUGUGACAAAAAAAUAUUUAUGGGACGGAUGGACUGACAGAUGGAUGGAUGGACAGACAGACAGAGGCAAAACAGUAGACCCCACUUUUUUAGAGCGGGAGUAUAAAUACAAUUAUUUAAGUCACAUUAUACAGAGUGAACUCAUUCAUUAGUGAAAAAAGCACAAAAACAAAAAUCUAAAAUUUGUUGGAGACUACUUUGUUCAAAUACAUGGUACUUCAGAAAAUAUAUAAAGAUAUUAACUAAUAUCUGUUUUUUUUAGCAUCUAUCAAAAUAUUUU